GACGAACGCUGGCGGCGUGCCUAAUACAUGCAAGUAGAACGCUGAAGGAGGAGCUUGCUUCUCUGGAUGAGUUGCGAACGGGUGAGUAACGCGUAGGUAACCUGCCUGGUAGCGGGGGAUAACUAUUGGAAACGAUAGCUAAUACCGCAUAAUAGUAGAUGUUGCAUGACAUUUGCUUAAAAGGUGCAAUUGCAUCACUACCAGAUGGACCUGCGUUGUAUUAGCUAGUUGGUGAGGUAACGGCUCACCAAGGCAACGAUACAUAGCCGACCUGAGAGGGUGAUCGGCCAAAAUGGGAAUGAGACACGGCCCAGACUCCUACGGGAGGCAGCAGUAGGGAAUCUUCGGCAAUGGACGGAAGGCUGAACGAGCAACGCCGCGUGAGUGAAGAAGGUUGUCGGAUCGUAAAGCUCUGUUGUAAGAGAAGAACGAGUGUGAGAGUGGAAAGUUCACACUGUGACGGUAUCUUACCAGAAAGGGACGGCUAACUACGUG
rnacentral:rRNA from 1 species